AAUUAAUACUACACUAUCUGAGAACGCCCGAUCUUGUCUGAUCUCGGAAGCUAAGCAGGGUCGGGCCCAGUUGGUACUUGGAUGUGCGACGUCCUGGGAAUACUGAGUGUGGUGGUGG
rnacentral:rRNA from 1 species